rnacentral:rRNA from 1 species
UACAGAGGUAUCGAGCGUUAGGCGGAAUCACUUGGCUUAAAGCGUGUGUAGGUGGAUCGUUAAGUACCUUGUGAAAUCCCACGGCUUAACCGUGGAACUGCUUGGUAUACUGGCGGUCUUGAGCCACUUAGGGGCUACCGGAACAAAUGGUGGAGCGGUGAAAUGCGUAGAUAUCAUUUGGAACGCCAAUGGUGAAAACAGGUAGCUGGGAGUGUGCUGACACUGAGACACGAAAGCCAGGGGAGCAAACGGG